rnacentral:tRNA from 1 species
GAUUCAGUGGUGUAGAGGUAUCAUGGGCGCUUGCCAUUUCUGUGUGCGCCCGACCCGGGUUCGAUUCCCGGCUGAAUCA